rnacentral:sRNA from 1 species
CGAAGCGAGAGAACGUUGCGCCAGCAACGGCCCGCAGGGUGAGCCACGCAGUGGCGAGUCAUCCUCUAUCACCGACCA